rnacentral:rRNA from 1 species
CCUACGGGUGGCUGCAGUCGAGAAUCAUUCACAAUGGGGGAAACCCUGAUGGUGCGACGCCGCGUGGGGGAAUGAAGUUCUUCGGAUUGUAAACCCCUGUCAUGUGGGAGCAAAUUAACAAGAUCGUACCACAAGAGGAAGAGACGGCUAACUCUGUGCCAGCAGCCGCGGUAAUACAGAGGUCUCAAGCGUUGUGCGGAAUCACUGGGCGUAAAGCGUGCGUAGGCUGUUUCGUAAGUCGUGUGUGAAAGGCGCGGGCUCAACCCGCGGACGGCCUAUGAUACUGCGAGACUGGAGUAAGGGAGGGGGAACCGGAAUGCUCGGUGUAGGAGUGAAAUGCGUAGAUAUCGAGAGGAACACUAGUGGCGAAGGCGAGUUCCUGGACAUUAACUGACGCUGAGGCACGAAGGCCAGGGGAGCGAAAGGGAUUAGAUACCCUAGUAGUC